CGUCCUGACCAUAGAGAGUCCUUAUUUUCUAUGGUGGAGUAGGUCAGGGCGUGACUGGGGGGUUAGUCUAGUUUAUUAUUUCUAUAUGGGGUUCUAGUUUUGUUUUUCUAUGUGGUGAUUUUGUAUGAUUCCCAAUUAGAGGCAGCUGGUAAUCGUUGUCUCUAAUUGGGGAUCAUAUUUAGGUAGCAUUUUUUCCACCUGUGGGUUGUGGGAUAUUGUUUAUGUGUAGUUGCAUGUUAGCACUCCGUUGUCGUCAUGUAUCGUUUAUUCUUUAUUGUUUUGUUGUGUGGUUCACUUACUUUAAAAGAUGUGGAACCCAGAUCACGCUGCACGUUGGUCCGAGUAUGCUUCUAACGAUCGUCACACAUCCCCACAACAUGAUGCUGCCACCUCCGUGCUUCACGGUUGGGAUGGUGUUCUUGCAAGCCUCCCCUUUUUCCUCCAAACAUAACGAUGGUCAUUAUGGCCAAACAGUUAUAUUUUUGUUUUAUCAGACCAGAGGACAUUUCUCCAAAAGGUAUGAUCUCCAUCCCCAUGUGCAGUUGCAAACCAUAGUCUGGCUUUUUUUAUGUUGGUUUUGGAGCAGUGGCUUCUUCCUUGCUGAGCGGCCUUUCAGGUUAUGUCGAUAUAGGACUCGUUUUACUGUGGAUAUAGAUACUUUUGUACCUGUUUCCUCCAGCAUCUUCACAAGGUGCUUUGCUGUUGUUCUGGGAUUGAUUUGCACUUUUCGCACCAAAGUACAUUCAUCUCUAGGAGACAGAACGCGUCUCCUUCUUGAUCGGUAUGACGGCUGCGUGGUCCCAUGUUGUUUAUACUUGCGUACUAUUGUUUGUACAGAUGAACGUGGUACCUUCAGGCUUUUGGAAAUUGCUCCCAAGGAUGAACCAGACUUGUGGAGGUCUACAAAAAAAAUUCUGAGGUCCUGGCUGAUUUCUUUUGAUUUUCCAAUGAUGUCAAGUAAAGAGGCACUGAGUUUGAAGGUAGGCCUUGAAAUACAUCCACAGAUACACCUCCAAUUGACUCAAA
rnacentral:lncRNA from 1 species